CGAGUUUUGUAAUUUUGUGGUUGGAGCUAUUCACAGCCACCAGACUCCAAAGUCCAUGCAAUGAGACACUAACACAUCUAGAAAAAAAUGAGUGUCUCUUGCGGUGAUCUGUAGUUCUCGAAGUUUUGAGAAAUAUUUAACAAGCAUUAGCUUCUGGAAAUAAAUUUAAAAAAAAUUUAAAAACUUGUACAACCAGUUGAUGGCGAUGGUGGCAGUAAGUGAGUGGAGUAAAGCAGCCUAGUGGAUGGAAGUUUGAGUCUAUAAACCACAUUUGGAACUGCAAUUUUGUAUGAAAAUUAUCAUGGCGGUGCUGAUCGUUGCUGCUGCAGAUGAUGAUGAGGUUGAUGUGAAUCGAUAUUUUGUAGUUGCGGUUUUUUGUGUGCCUAUUAAAAAAUUAAAAAAAUUAUUUGUCUGCAUGUUCAAAAAUGAUUUAAAUUUUUAGAAUUUUAAAUGAUUUAUUUUAAAGCUGUUUAAAAUGUAAAAAUGAUUUUAGAGUUGUUCCUUUUCUUUUGAAAAACUGGAUGCCUCAUGAACAUUAAUUUUUACUUACAUACUCUAUAUGAAACUAGUCUCCAUAUUCUUAUAUACAAGGCCAGUUAAAUGUACUAAGAUUAUGUACAGUUUGAAGUUUUAUUAUUUUAAAUAUAUAAACUACCUAUAUCAAAAUAUUAACAAAACUGUAUUGAAUAGUACUUAUAUUUAAAAAAUGCUAAUUCUAAUCACGUUUUUCUCUGCUUAUACUAACAAAUAAUUAUCAAAUAUCCCCCUGAAUUUUUUUCAAAAAACAAUGAUCUCAUUUUUGAACUCUCACAUAUAAGCUGGCGCCAUAUAUUGUCUAUAAAUUGCAGUCUGGUAGUUGAUAAGUCCGACAAAACUUUACUGAAUCACCAAAUAAUCAAAUUGGAAUCAAUACCUAUAUUAGAAGUGUUAAAGUUUAAUUAUUUCGCUUAUCAGCACAAAUGUACUUUUUUGCAUUUCUAGAAUAACAAACUGUUUACUAUUUAAUUAUGAACCAAAAAAGUAAUAUAUAAAAUUGUCAUUAAAUAAAAUUCACAUUUUACCAUAAUGAACCACAAAUGUUAUUUAGAAAUAUUAUAACAAUUAAAAUUGAUUAUAACUAUAUUCAGACAAAUAAAUUUCAGAAACUCCUUCAAAUAAAA